rnacentral:rRNA from 1 species
UACAGAGGUCCCAAGCGUUGUUCGGAUUCACUGGGCGUAAUGGGUGCGUAGGUGGUCAGGUAAGUCUGAUGUGAAAUCUCUGGGCUCAACCCAGAAACUGCAUUGGAUACUAUCUGGCUAGAGGAGUGUAGGGGGGACUGGAAUACUUGGUGUAGCAGUGAAAUGCGUAGAUAUCAAGUGGAACACCAGUGGCGAAGGCGAGUCCCUGGACACUUCCUGACACUGAGGCACGAAAGCUAGGGGAGCAAACAGG